rnacentral:rRNA from 1 species
UACGUAGGGGGCUAGCGUUGUCCGGAUUUAUUGGGCGUAAAGAGCGUGUAGGCGGCCAGAUAGGUCUGCUGUGAAAACUCGAGGCUCAACCUCGAGCUGUCGGCGGAAACCAUCCGGCUAGAGUCCGGAAGAGGAGAGUGGAAUUCCCGGUGUAGCGGUGAAAUGCGCAGAUAUCGGGAAGAACACCUGUGGCGAAGGCGGCUCUCUGGGACGGUACUGACGCUGAGACGCGAAAGCCAGGGGAGCAAACGGG